GCAGGUUCCUUGGUCUAAAUAUCCCAGCUUUAGCUCUGGUCAUCAUCUGGUAUCUCAGAGCUUCUAUUAGAAUAUUUUCGGCUUGUACUCUCUCUUCCUCUUGAUCUGAUGGUGUUAUGCUCUGACUGAGAGAAGACACUGGUUCUUCUUGCAACAAAUUGUCACCGGUCGAAGGAUCUCUUGGUGAGUGUUGCGGUGAGGACUCUGCCAUAGGGGAGGAAGCUGG
rnacentral:lncRNA from 1 species